GGGAGAGGUAUUAGCAGUAGAAAGAGGGAAGUGCUCAUGCCAUUGUAGAGAACACUGGUGAUACCUCACUUGGCAUACUGUACGCAGUACUGGAGACCGUAUCUCCAGAAGGAUAUUGAUACUUUAGAGUUCAGAGAAUGGCUACUAAACUGGUUUAUGGAUUGCAGGAUAAAACUUACAAGGAAAGGUUAAAGGAUCUUAACAUGUAUAGCUUGGAGGAAAGACGAGACGGGGGGG